rnacentral:rRNA from 1 species
GACGAACGCUGGCGGCGUGCCUAAUACAUGCAAGUCGAGCGAAUCAAUAGGAGCUUGCUCCUGUUGGUUAGCGGCGGACGGGUGAGUAACACAUGGGCAACCUGCCUGUAAGACUGGGAUAACACCGGGAAACCGGUGCUAAUACCGGAUAAUCCUUUUCCUCUCAUGAGGGAAAGCUGAAAGUCGGUUUCGGCUGACACUUACAGAUGGGCCCGCGGCGCAUUAGCUAGUUGGUGAGGUAACGGCUCACCAAGGCGACGAUGCGUAGCCGACCUGAGAGGGUGAUCGGCCACACUGGGACUGAGACACGGCCCAGACUCCUCCGGGAGGCAGCAGUAGGGAAUCUUCCACAAUGGACGAAAGUCUGAUGGAGCAACGCCGCGUGAGCGAUGAAGGCCUUCGGGUCGUAAAGCUCUGUUGUUAGGGAAGAACAAGUACCGGAGUAACUGCCGGUACCUUGACGGUACCUAACCAGAAAGCCACGGCUAACUACGUGCCAGCAGCCGCCGUAAGAC